CGAUCCCAGGACCCCCGGGCCACACCCUGAGCCGAAGGCAGACGCCCAACGACUGAGCCACCCAGGCGCCGCUAGAGACGGUUUUAAUUUAAAACUUGAGCUGCUAAUAUAUUUCCUUUUGUAUGAAGUGUGGCUACCUGCACUGUCUUUAUUUGUACGAAAUGGCCUUUAAUAAUCUUCCAUGGUAGUCAAUGAAAAAAUUCUUCCUAUGUUGCCAAUUUAGUGAGCAUAAAUUACCGGGAACUUUAUAUGGAAUAAAUUAUAUUCUUAAGCCUUCUCAGAUGUGCAGCCAAUAGAGAUUUUAAAGCAGAAAACGAAAUGCAAAACUUCGCUCAAAGGGACAUUGGUUGUAUUCGGAACCUUCUCUGGAGUUGCUUUCUCUCUACCCCUGUGAGGGGAUUACAGGGGCUGCAUUCCAACCUGAGGCUUUCUAAGCCACAUGUGGCUCUUCAGAAACCUGCGUGUGGUUUUCUUCUUGGAUUUGAAUAAAGCGACGAGGAAUAUUGCAAAGUGAAUACGGCAGUGGGCCCAAGGAAAAUACGUGAGGAAGUCUGCUUGAGUCACAGACAGGGCAAAGAGGGAAGGUGUCACGGACCCCAAAUGUGCCAUGACCUGACUUUCGUGCUUUUGUCGAGAACCCGGCAUGAUCAUUUUUUUUUUUUGCAAAACCAUUGUAAGUGCAAUUCAUGGGCACUCAUAAAUGCAAGGUAAGUUUAAUUGAUUUGCGGCUUUCCACAUUGCUGACGAUGAAGUGGUGCUUUGGCUGUUGAAAGGUGAGGGGAACUUGAUUUCACUACAGAGAUGAGAUGCCGCAUCCUCUAAACUGACAGAUGAAUAUGCUGCUUCAGAAUUCAUUAUUUGAUGUGAAGGACAAUGGUGAAAAUCUGAAUCUGCUAAACAGUUCAACAGGUCAAAAUACAGACCAUUAAAAGUUAAAUGAAUUGGAACGUUGAAAAUCAUUGGCAAAUACAUUUAUGUGGCAGUUUCUAGCUUCCCUGAUGAUCUUUUUUGCUAGUCUUUUCGGUGUCAUUUUGAGCAUUCCCCCACGCUCUUUCAGCUUAGCUACUACGGUGCCUGACUAGAACUUUGGGUCUAUGCUGUACCUUGACACUGAAUGGAAAAUAACAUCCCUCAGCUAAAGACGCCAAAUGCCUUGAUGGGGGAAUUGAUGCUUUCUCGGUCUUCUACGGAGAGGGUGAGAAAGAGAAGGAUGCUUACCUCCUGGACCUAUGUCUAAUUAGUCUCCCUUCCCAUCCCAAACACAUGGCCAUAUAUAGUUUAUGGACAGAAAAUUACAUUAUAAAACAGCACAGGGUAAUUGUAAUUAGUCAAAACAUGGACGAGUACCUAAAGCCAAUUUUAUCAGUUUCCUCUCCAAUCAGCUCCCCUCCAUGGUUUUAAAAUUAUAUCCAGGGAUUCUCUGAUGUUUCUGUCUUUGAGAGGUGGAGCUUGAUUUUCAGACGUGACCUAGAAUGACUUUGGAGACUAGACAAUAAAAAGCCAAUUGUGGCUUUGGUUUGGAUGCAUAUUCUCUCUUUUUCUUUCUCGUGGAUCUCUGGCUCUGGGAAGUCUUACAGAAAGGCCCACAUGGCAAGGAACUGGAGUCUUUGGUAACAGACAGCAAGGAACACCUAGACCACUUUCCUGCUCAUGGGCACCUCUGUCUUUAUCCAUUAGCAGUAUGGUGGGAUUGUCUGAACAUCUAGAGACAAGAAGUAUGACUAAAGCAUGGUUGGACUUCUCUGCUACCCCAGGAGGAGCCUGGCGAGAUGGGAUACGUUAACAGUGUAUAGGACUGGACUCUGGAGAAGACGUUGAACCUUCAAGCCACUCUCCUCUCAACUCCACGUGGCCUUCCCUCCAGUUUUGGUUCUGCCUUUUGACUGGUCUCUCUUAAUGCAUUUGGAGGCUCGUCUUGCACCACUCAGAGUGACCUCGAUGGAAAUCUGUGUUAUUCAAACGCAUUUGCCUGUGCUUAAUCUGUAUGCAGUGCUGGUCCCAACACAACCGUGUUCAGAAGAGGAACCUUGUCUUUGAUGUUCUACUCUUCUGUAGGCGACAGUUACUCUUUCCCCAAGCCUGGAGUGCAUGGCUAUGGGACAGAUACUUCCUUCUUCAAAUCACAUCCAUUUAUCUGUGUGGGCAAAGUCCAUCAUUUGCAUCCAUCAUCCACUUAUCAUAUUUGGUUUGGGUGGAACUCAUUUCUGACUGUCACACAUAAAAUUCUCCCUAAGCACCAACAAAUUUCCUACAAAUCCAUCAACAGACUACACUCAUAAAUAAACCCUAUCAGCUGAUAUUUGUACAGCACAUUCCUGUUUCUUAAGUUCUUGCAUGUAAACCAUUUCGCCUAAUCAUCAUGGGAGUUCUGGAAAGCAGGAGGGGUGGGUAUGAUUAUUCUCAUACCACAAAUGAUGAAACUGAGAUGGAGUAACCUACUCAAACUGCUAAUUAAUGCAAGCCUUCAGAUUCCAGACCUCAAGUUUUCCCCACUACGUCUCAUUAUCUGAGAUUGGGUGAGGGCUGGAGUGUAGGCUGGAAGCUAAGAAGACAAUUCUGGAAUCAAAUGACAAACCGUUUGAAGAUUGGCUCUGCUGAUUGUCAGUUGUGUCUGUGACCUUGGGCAAAGUUCUUCAUCGCUUACUCAUCUGUGUCAUUGUAAUUAUUCCAUACCUCAUAGGAUUCUUGUGAUUAUUAAAUGGCAUAAUGCAUGGACAGUGCUUAGCAAAGGUUCCAUAUAUGGCCCCAGCUUGAAUAAGCUAAUUAUUGUUAGAGCUGUCAUCGUGUAUCUCUAAAUGUAGCUUCAGCCUCCAGUCACAAUGAGAGAACAAAGAACCGCAUCAUUCAUCUGCAGUGUUCCACGCUUCUGCCUCUGUUAACUGCAACUGGCAGGACCGAUGGGCUGAACAGUCUUAAAGCCUGGCUGUGGCCAUCCAUCUGGACGACUCCAGCAGACCCACGUGUCCUGCGGUUCAACUUUUCAAACCUACCCCAUUUGUAAUUCCUCAGCAGGAUUCUGAGCUCUGCUGGGCAUAUUUCGGUUUUACAGUUAAUCAGAAAGAUUUUGCUCCAAAUUUUCCCUGAGUGUGGGGCUUUAUUAAUGCGAUAUGCCUCAUAGUAGUGAGUGCCUGCUUUUGAGCCAUAUGCCCUGAAUAAGUUAUCAGGUUUCAUUGUUUACCCUUGGUUAAAAAAAAAAAUUCCAUACACUCUGACCUCAUGACACCUAAACCCUGCCCGUGCAGUUAAAACAGGAAAACUAGUCAUCUGAUAUCAUGAAGGCAAAUCAGCUGGUAGACGCGCUCAAAUGUUUCCGUCUCCACCAGUGUGUGGGCAUUGUGGGGAGCCAUAGAUUAUUAAUCAGGAAUGCGCGGGAGAGGAUUUCUGGUUCGUGUGUGUGUGAAUUUCCAAAAUAAACCCAGUACAAAGAGAUACA